rnacentral:lncRNA from 1 species
AGAGUCGAGUAUAGCAAAGUAGACUCAGUUUGAGCUUACCUAGAAAAUAGCAGCCAAGCUAGGCCCAUUCCUGUUUGCUAGGCAAUUCUGCAGUUUCUGGAAAUUUAAAACUGCCAUUCCCCUUGUGGCAAACAUAUAAAUGAGAAACUUGAUGAUGCAAAAAGAUGGACAGAGGAACUUCAAUGUUGGCUACUUUCUUUUGUUUGUGGUUGAGAUUGCAACAUUAUGAACUUUUACUGAUUAAAAUGAUAAUUUAUUGUUUUGCUAAAUCUCAUGAUAAAUAAUUGAUUGCCUUUUCAUCUGGUAAAAUAUACAGUAGUCUUGCCUCUUCAACAGCAAAAUCAUUUGUAUUUUGAUUAUAAACGCAUAAGGUUUGAAGAAAGCAUGUAAAGUGUUUAGCAUCUAAGAGCCAUAUUAUCUACAGCCUGAUAUAACAACCUUAGAGGGUUCGCUAGGUUGGACAUGAUUAUAAAUUGCAGCUGUGUUAUAAUGCUUCCUUCUAAUGAUAGUUCUCUAGGGUUGAUUAUGGCUGGUUAUUAAUUUCAGGUAGCUAACUGGUUUCAACCUUCCCAAAAUUCUUGCAUGUCCACUUAGUUCAUUUUACGUGUUUAGCUCAUCACAUUUGGCCUUUAACAUUCUCUGAUAUUUCCAGGCUUUGGAAAUAGUCCAAUACAAAGCUAAACUUAAAGGAUCUUAAUUUUAGGCCAAUAAAUACAACUAAGAUAGUUGAAAGCUGUUAUUUUGAGCCCUAGAUUAUAUUAAACAAUUGUCUACCAAGUGAACAUUGAUUCAUGAUACCACUCACCCGGUCCUCACCACCCCC